rnacentral:rRNA from 1 species
AGAGUUUGAUCAUGGCUCAGAACGUACGCUGGCGGGCACGCCUAACACAUGCAAGUNGAACGAAGUAGCAAUACUUAGUGGCAGACGGGUGAGUAACAUGUAGGUAUCUNCCCUUUGGCCCUNGAAUAACACGAGGAAACUUGUGCUAAUACCGGGAUAAGUCUUUACGGAGAAAGCUUUAUGCACCAUUGGAUGAGCCUGCACUUAAUU